rnacentral:rRNA from 1 species
AACUUUCAACAACGGAUCUCUUGGCUCUCGCAUCGAUGAAGAACGCAGCGAAAUGCGAUAACUAAUGUGAAUUGCAGAAUUCAGUGAAUCUUCGAGUCUUUGAACGCACCUUGCGCCCUUUGGUAUUCCAAAGGGCAUGCCUGUUUGAGUGUCAUUA